UACGGGGGGAGCAAGCGUUGUUCGGAUUUACUGGGCGUAAAGGGCGCGUAGGCGGCACUGCAAGUCAGUUGUGAAAUCUCCGGGCUUAACCCGGAAAGGUCAACUGAUACUGCAGGGCUAGAGUGCAGAAGGGGCAACUGGAAUUCUCGGUGUAGCGGUGAAAUGCGUAGAUAUUGGGAGGAACACCAGUGGCGAAGGCGGCUCACUGGACCGGUACUGACGCUGAGGCGCGAAAGCGUGGGGAGCAAACAGG
rnacentral:rRNA from 1 species